rnacentral:rRNA from 1 species
AGUGAACGCUGGCGGUAGGCCUAACACAUGCAAGUCGAACGGCAGCACAGUAAGAGCUUGCUCCUACGGGUGGCGAGUGGCGGACGGGUGAGGAAUACAUCGGAAUCUACUUUUUCGUGGGGGAUAACGUAGGGAAACUUACGCUAAUACCGCAUACGACCUACGGGUGAAAGCAGGGGAUCUUCGGACCUUGCGCGAUUGAAUGAGCCGAUGUCGGAUUAGCUAGUUGGCGGGGUAAAGGCCCACCAAGGCGACGAUCCGUAGCUGGUCUGAGAGGAUGAUCAGCCACACGGGAACUGAGACAGGGUACAGACUCCUACGGGAGGCAGCAGUGGGGAAUAUUGGACAAUGGGCGCAAGCCUGAUCCAGCCAUACCGCGUGGGUGAAGAAGGCCUUAGGGUUGUAAAGCCAUUUUGUUGGGAAAGAAAAGCAGCAGGUUAAUACCCCGCUGUUCUGGCGGUACCCAAAGAAUAAGCACCGGCUAACUUCGUG